AAAAGAGACAGUGCCGGUUGAUAUAUUAUUGAUUAUAUAUUUUUAAAACAAGCUGAGGAUUGAUUAUGAAAAACGUUUGACAUGUUUCUGUGGACAUUACGGAUACUAUUUGGAAUUUUCAUCUGUGUUGUCAUGACCGCUCGAGCCUGUGGAUUUCUGAAUAUAACGCGCCAAACAAACAGAAGUAUUUUGGAUAUAAAAUAAUCUUUACGGAACUAAAGGAACAUUUAUUGUGUAACUGGGAGUCUCGUGAGUGCAAACAUCUGAAGAUCAUCAAAGAUAAUGGGGCCGGCUAUAGGGUUAGCCCUGACAUCCAUCUGCUUCCAAUUCACUGUCGUCAAGACCGGCUCUCUUGCUCGCUAGAUAUCCCACCCAUUCCAUGUUCUAGUGUGAGCUGAUCAAGGGGUCGAAAAUGUAGAUAUUGCCAGAUGUUCACUGUCCGAGGAACCGGCCGUGGAGCUUUAUUUUUGGCACAAGUGUCCAUAACCAGAGGUUAUAUCAGCUGUGUUGGUGAACCCCUCCCGUAUCUGAACUGGUUGACACAGAGAGCACAGCAUGAUCAUAGCCAAACGUGAUGAACAAAACGGAGCGAUUUCUCCUACACAAAUAAUCUUUUUGGAAAAACUGAACAUUUGCUAUCUAACUGAGUGUCUCCUCAUUGAAAACAUCUGAAGUUCUUCAAAG
ensembl:lncRNA